rnacentral:ncRNA from 1 species
GUAUAGGCAUUGAUGGGAAGGAGUAGGAAGGUUUAGCUUUUAGAGAGUUGCUGUCGUAGGCUGAAAGCAGCAGCAGUGAAACUUCUGAAGGUGCGUCCCGGAGCUUUCUUGCCGAAAGAAGUAGGCAAGGACGGUAAAUCCGUUAUAAUUUUGAGUGAGGUUUAUCCUAAGUAGAGUGGAACCGCGAAGUCCCCUUCGUCUUUACA